rnacentral:rRNA from 1 species
GACAGAGGUGCCGAGCGUUAUGCGGAAUCACUGGGCUUAAAGCGUGCGCAGGCGGUCCGUUAAGACAGAUGUGAAAUCCCCGGGCUUAACCUGGGAACUGCAUUUGUGACUGGCGGACUCGAGUAUGGCAGAGGGGGGUAGAAUUCCACGUGUAGCAGUGAAAUGCGUAGAGAUGUGGAGGAAUACCGAUGGCGAAGGCAGCCCCCUGGGCCAAUACUGACGCUCAUGCACGAAAGCGUGGGGAGCAAACAGG